GUUUCUGUGGCCCUUCUCUGGACACACUCCAACAGGUCUAUGUCCCUCCUGUGCUGAGGACUCCACAUCUGGACGCAGUACUCCAGGUGAGGCCCCACCAGCGCAGAGUAGAGGGGCAGCUUUGGAAAUCUGCUGCAAUAAGAUUCCCCUACCUUUUUUAGCAAAGUGGAUUUGCAGAAGCCUUCAGGGCCACUUUUGUGAGUGUUUUGGCUGAGGGCACAGGUUACAAAACCUGGGUCUUUCUGGUAUGUGCAACUGGCUGGGAGUGAUGUUGGAAAGAGGAGAUGCAUCGAUAAUGGGUGGCCUUUUGGAUGUCUGUUAACAAGUAAUGACACAUUGUGUCUGUAACAGCCUGGUGGCUUUGGGGAUGCACUUCAGCAGUCCAUUUUCACUAGGCUGAGUUGGCAUUUUUGGAGGUGAUUGGAGAAGGCAGGUGUUUCUGUAAGAGAAUGUUGUGAUGGGUGCAGUUGGGAUCAGAGUCUUGUUGUCCAGCUGUUUGGUGAGGGUGCGUGGGAGGAGGUGUCCCUGUGACUGUAUUUUUAGGUACUGCAGGUGUUUCCUGUACCUCCAGAGAUGUUUAGUUCACUCUGGCCCAGAAUGGGAGGACUUUGUUCUGCUGCUGUUUCAGGUGAAUUUGCAAGACCCUUGCUGUGCAGCUGUUUUUCCUCUGCCUGUGACCUCUUCUGUGUGUCCUAGAAAGGACUGCAUCAGCAGAAGGCUCACGCAGUCCUGCAGGAACCUCUCUUCUGUCUUUGAUGGCUUGCCCUGCUGCUUCUGCUAAUAACCAUUUUCUUCAGUACAAUUCUGAUUUGCCUGUAACUUGUGUUAUUGCUCAUUUGGUGCAGGCCUGUGUUAUUAUUUCUGCUGGUCCCAGCUCGUUUCUGCAUUACCGAGGUAAUUCUCAGCCCUUCCCGGUGAAGUCCCUGUUUCUCCCCAGGGGUGUGUGGCGCUGCCGGCUGUAGCUCUGCUGAUGGAGCCUCUGGGGCUCAGAAGCACUUUGUGCGUCAUCCUAACAAGUUGUUCACAACUCUGGGCAUGGGGCUUCCGAUUCAGCUGCUGAGAAGACUUUGAUAAAGAAGAAAGGAUUGUUUUUGUUUUUUUUUUUUCCUGACGGCUGCAAAUGAAAAAGCUUUCCACUUGGGAGUCGUGGGUCAUAUUUAUGGAAAUGCGGAGAGCAGUUGCAAUAUUUAUAGCGGUUACAGAAGCGAUUGAAUCUAUCUUUUAUUGAUACAUAUUUACAUGCCCACAGAAAUCCUAUUGCACAGUAGCUGAGAGAAUUUUAUUUAGAUUUAGUAUUUUGAAGUAAUUUUUUAGUGCUUCUCUAUUAUCCGAGGAGUGCGAGAUUCAAUAUUUCAAGUGGAACUGUCACCAAACAGCCGGAGGUUUUUAAAAGAUUUUUAUUUUACAUAAAGAUAAAUGUUGAAGACACAUUUUUCAGAGACACCAUCUGUUCCAUGUUGACCUUAAUUUUCUGGAUGAGUGCUUUUCUUCAAACGUUUUAAGUCUUGUCUACAUUUCAUUUGGUUGGGAGUGUUUAGGAUAUUUGUUGAACAGGAAAUCAGAUAUUCAGAAUGCAAACACACCAUUACAUUGCAAAUUAUUGCCUUUGUAUAAUUUAGCAAACUGCUGGGUAAAUAGUUCUGCAGACUGAUGUGUGCAGCGCUGCCUCUGACAUCUGGCAGGUUGGCCUUUGGUGGGGCUGCAUUUCAUAGAAUCACAGAAUCUUUCGAGUUGGAAGGGACCCUUGCUGUCUUCAGAAAAUACUUAAUGUUGGUAGCAUCAUCAUAGAAUGAGGGGUUUUAAACCAUUUGAUUGUGUGCUCAUUACGUUUCUGUUGAUAGUUCUGCAGCAAGAGGUCUGUUACACUUUGUACAAAUAAUUGUUUUGAGGCAAAACGUCUAACUUUUAUGUGAUUUAAAGAAGAUAUUCUUUAAAUACUUCUUUUGCUUGAAUAUGGUCAUUUCUGUGCAGCAGGAGUAAGUGUAUGUAAGGUGACAAGAAGUAUUUUGAUCUGCUGGGUUGCAAGUUAAAUAUGAAGUCAUUGUAGAGCUAUUUGGAAGACGCAACUCUGUUUCUUAAGUUGGUAAGAGAGAGCUGAAAGCAAAAUGCUUAUCCAUGUGAAUAUCUGAACUGCCUUGAGGUGGCAGUAGAUAGAACAUUUAUUGUAAACGUCUGGGGCUAGGGGAGGAUGCUGCUUUCUGCUGGCCCAUAGGAGAGGUCAGCACAAGCAGGGUGGCUACAGGAAAAGCAAGGUGGGUUUCGAGAUUUUUUUUCAAAUUCACUGUUUUGUUUGAAUCUGUAGUUCCCAUAAAGCGUGCUCCACUCGAAGGAAGUUGCAACAAACGUGCAUGUUGAAAAACAGAACAGCAUUUUGCCUCAUUAGAGACUACUAAUCCCAGAUAAUCUCUGGAUUGUAACUAAUUGAUGUAGCUACACCUAAAUAUUGAGUUAGCUACAGGUGAGAAGGAGCUUAUUUUUAAUGAGUUUUUUUGGUCUGAUGGAAAUGAAUGGAUUCCCCAUACGCUCUGUCCUUUCAUCCAGAAUUUCCUCACCAAGAACUGGAUACUGUAGGGAUACAGACUGGUUCUGCUGUGCCAUAAAUUCUUUGCUCCCUCGCCUGGGUGCGUUAGCCCUUGGGGUCCUUCAACCAAAUUCUGAAAGAGAAAGAAGUCCCUUUGUCUGGUCUCAAAGAGAGACCAAAGAGCACGGUGUUACAAUUUGAAGCCAAAUGUAGUCCUAAACGUCACUUAUUGGCUCAUCCAAAUGCAGACAAAUAGUUUUCACACUUGAUUAUGAACAUACCACUGUUUAAUUGUCAUCUGCUUAUUCUAUUGUAUUGUAUAUACGUGUAUCUAUGUAUGGUUAUUGUAUAUAGUCUAUAUAUACAGUUUUUUCCCCCUCCAAGGUAAAAUGAAGAUCUUCUGAUUAACAGCUACAGGAAAAUGGGACUGAUUUAUCUGAGAGCUGCUUUUUUGCCAAGCACUCUAUGAUAACAAAAGUACUGUUCGUUAUGACAUUGUACUGAGUCACUUGUUGAUGCUAUUUGAGGGAGAGAAUUUGGUUAAGAAACUGGAACAGGAUGUUCAUUUUAUUUCAGUCCUUGUAAUCCUGAGUCAUCUCUGAUAGCUGAUGAAAUACAGAAACUCACAUUUUAGACAGGGCUUCUCUUAACAUAAUUUUGGGAUGCUGUAAUUUGAUAGAGGGUGGAAAAAUACACAAAGCUGAUUUUAUGCAGGGAGGUUUAUUUUAGUUGUCACUCUCUGCUGAAGCACUCUUAAACUUUGUACAUCUGCAGCAUUUUGCCAUGCCUUUAAGUAUUUUGUUGGUGGGUUGCAACACGAGUUGAUGUGUAUAUGGCACACAGUUGUGCAGGUAUUUGGGUUUUGAGAACACUGUUUCCACUAUGCGCUUUCUGGCUGGUUUAGGAGAUCAUCAGAUGGCUUCUGGGUUGGUCCCAAGGUAGGCAGCGUGGGGCUUCCAGUUGCAUGCAUGUGAAGCAAAGGGAAAAGGCUGAAUUCACAUUUUAAGUGCAAUUUUGGAUAUAAUCUUAUCAAAGCCUGUGAAUUUGCAGGACUGUUAUUAUCCAGAUGACUAUCAGAUUAGUAUGAUGUAUUAGAUCCAUAAUGCUAUCUCCUGUAGAAUGUAUUGAUGCUGAUAAGAUCCUGAAGCUGAGCCUAUCUUCUCGCUGGAGCACAGAGACCUUCCAAAAUAAUUUGUGUGCAUCCCUUCAGCUUCACUUCAGGGUGGCAAGCAGCAAAUCUUUAGCAGUCCAUCUUACUUAUGGGCAGAAAAUAAAGAAUAUUGACUCUGUUUAAAGCUGUGGGAAGAAUUCAUGUAGGAAGAACAGAAUUAUUGGGUCUGGAGUCCAACUAGAAUGGACACUGCUGCUUCAAGAUGUGUGUGGACCAUGUGAGAGUACCUAUGAAGGCUCCUUCCCCACUUAGUAGAAAAGCAGAAUGAGUUUGGGGAAUGGAGGUAAAACUGUACAUUUAAAUCAUCUGCAGCCAAGCAGUGUAAUUCAUUCAUCCCUUCUAGCACUGUUGCUAAUUUAUAUUUAAAGCAAUGUGAAUUUCAUGAGCAUUUUAAAAAAUCAUAUUUUAAAUUCAAUUUGCUGUCAACUCAUUUGAUGUUUUAUGUAAAGUCAUUUCCCAUAAACAGAUUACUGAAUAUCAAAAGACUUCUCAUGCAUAAUUUUUUGAAGGAAAUAAUAUUAUAAUAGAGAUGCGAGCCUGGCCCUCCUGAGUCAGGAGCAGUGCUGGGAUGGCACUGCUCCUUGGUGCUUCCCUUACUGCAGUCAGGGAGUGUCCUGGGCAAGUGGCAUUCGAGAGGUGUGCAGCAGUAAUAACAGUGUUUUCUAGUCUGCAGCAGGUUGUUUUGCAAUGAACUGGUGAUAGAUAAUAUAUGAAGAAAAGUCAUCAGCAGGUUCUUUUCCAGAUAUCAGAAAGAGAGUUGGAAGAAAAUGGACUGAAAUACCUCAAAUGCAACAGACCUUUCAAGUUGCACAGCUCACACAGAGCGUAACGGACUGGGUAAUAUUAAGAGAGAUGUUAAAAAACUAAGGCACGUUUGUUAAAAACUGUUGAAGAAAUAACUGCUGUAUUUUCUUGGCACGGGAUUCUUGCUUGUGCCUGGAGAUUGCUGUCAUCUGGAAGGUGCAGCGCUAUGUGAAACGCCAUCAGAGCUGCCACGGAGCUGAAUCCUUCGCAAAAAGAAAGUAAUUGGUCUCUGGGUAACACCAAUUUCUCUUCCAGGUGCUGAGCAGUGUGCCCUGGUUGUGAGCACAUAGCGUGCAGGUAAGCAGCUUGGGCUCUCACAGUGAUUUGAUGGAUUCCUAACACAGCACAUCAGGUUAGGAAGGUUGCUGCAAUAGCUUUUUAUUUAUUUAUCUGUUAUUUGAACUGGCUCCAUUGCAGAAGUGGGCUUCUCCCUUUCUUUGAAAACUGUUAAAGGAGAGAAAUAUCAAGCCUCCUGGUUUUCCCAAACCCAUGUGUUGUGGGUUUUGGUUUUUUUUUUCCAGCUUCUGAGUGCCCUGGAAAUUUUUUUGUUGUUAUUUCAAAUAGAGAAGAAAUCUUUACCUCAUCGCUAAGUGACAAAAUGCUCUCAAAAUGGAGUUUCCAAGCUUGGGGCAAGUCAUAUGAAGCCCCUGAAGUGGUUCUGAGCAGCCCCCACCCCAGUUAUCUUCCUUCUUUCAGCUGAGCAGUGCUGUCUAACCCAGGGUGGCCAGAGUUUGCUCCCAUUUUUGGUGUUCUUUCAGCUUUUUAAGGGCCUGGGGCUUGCAUGGAGGUUUCUAGAAGGAGUUUUGUGGAAGGCGCAGGGAUGGAUGAGGUUGGCCUUGUUUUUAGGUGCUGGGACUUGGCAGCAUGAGGGACCACAGUGAUCCACGGCCGGGGCCCACCUCGGGUGGUCUCCAAGGUUGUGCCAGGUGCAGGGUGUGGCCUUCCCCAUCCCAUCGCUCUGGCCUGGGGCUGAAGGGUAGGUUGGGCACUUGGUGUCAUAGCCAUUUCUCCUUCUCCUCAUUCCUUGGGUCAGUUUUGUGGCAAAAAUUAAAGGCAUCCCAGAGCAUCGUAGGCAUCUGGGUCUUGCCUGAACUCGGCCUGGGGUUGGUUCCUGGUUCUGUGUGGGACAAACCUUGCCACAAGCCCCAUGUGUCUUUGAGCUCAGUCUGCAAGCGUGUAGCAUCUCCUGCACCAGGGGGAGACAUGAUGGCUCAGUGUGCCGAUAGGUGGUGUGAGAUUGCUGCAGUUUCUGGGAAUCUGGAGCUUUUUUUUCUUUAAGGAUUGCAGUGCAGCUAAUAGUGGGAUCAGAGGAAUGAAAGCUCAGUGCUGUGCCAGCUGUAAGUAACAGCUGAAUCAGAAUUCAACAGGGCUGCCCCAGCCCCUAGUGACACAGCCAUAGUUUGUCAUUUGGAGCUAAGCAAAUAAUAAUAAUAAAAAAAUGUAAAAUGAAGCAGGGAGGUCCAGUAAAUCCUUGCAGACUAAAUCUGCAAUUGCAGUCUGCUGAUCAGAACGUGGGGUGUCCUAUAGAGCUUGCAGGCAGGUUGUGCUGCAGCUCUGGGAAAUCUGAACAACCUGGUGAGAAACUGUUCCUUUUGGAAGAGAUGUGAAAUAUUACUGAACUGUGUAAGGGUGGUGAGGUACUGGAACAGGCUGCCCAGGGAGGUGGGGGACGCCUCAUCCCUGGAGAUAUUCAGGGUCAGACUGGGUGGUGGCUCUGAGCACCCUGAUUGAGCUGCGGGUGUCCCUGUUCAUUGCAGAGGAGUUGGACUAGAUGGUCUUUAGAGGCCCCUUUCAACUCAAAUGAUCCUGUGAAAUUUAUUCUAUGUUAAUACUUGGUCCAGAUCACUCUGGAUAACUGCAUGCAAGUCUGCCCCACAGCAGAACACACCUCUCUGCCCUCCAGUGUUUAAUGCAGAGAGGCUGCGAAGCCAAGGAGAGCAACAUAAGAAGUGCAGCCUGUGUGCAGACGUAUUUUCUAAACGGGUUUGUGUCCAUGUGCUGCAGCUGGCAGUUGUCUUGCUCACAGCUGUUCAGGGAAUGACAAUUUCUCUUUGUUGCAGCUUUCAGGUUUUUAACUGUGUCUGUUUCAUAUAGAAACAAUGACAAAAAGCAUCUUCAGGGCUGUUUUCAUCAAAACAGAAACAUCUGGUUGAGGAUAACUGGGUUCUGACAGCUUUUCAGCAGUGUGGUUGCUGAUUGACCCAAGCCCCGACAGGUAGUGCAGCAGAGGAGCAGGCCUCACCAAUGUCUCCAGGCUGCGUGCCCGGCAGCACGCUGCUCUCAUCAGUCAGGGGCUGGGGCACGAUGGCACUCAGCAUGAGACGCAAGGUGACAGUGCUGCACUGAGGCCUCUUGUGCUAAUCCUUGCUUAAUGCGGUGAUGCUGCCGUUGUUAGUGGCUGUUGCUGGACAGGAUUAAGGAAGAAAAACCUGUGAGAUUGGUUACGUGUUAUCUCUCUGUAUCUUUUAAUCUCUUGUGUGGUAUGGCCUGAUGUUUUCAAGUCUUCCUUUUGAAAUGGCAGAUAGAAACAUAUUGCUGCUGUCUGGAACCUUUAAUCUUCAAAUGGAAAUAAGCUUUCCUUGCAGAAGCAGGCUGCUUUUUCAGAUGCUCUCAGAAGUGCUGAUGUUGUGCCUUGGUUGAUCUGGCUAAUUAAAAAUGAGAUCCUGUCAAUCAAAACUAUUACUUUAAUGGUAAUGGCAAAAAUGAAAAGUGCAAGUAAACCAGUGUUAGAGAAAAAUGUGCCUCACUUCCUCCGUCUGAUUUAUGCAGGAAGAAUUUAGGCUUUUAUUGUGAGUCUUGAUAUCCACAGACUCUUCCAUUACAGACCUGUACUGUUUUAGUUACUGUUGGCUGCCCAGAUUAUCUUUGUCAGUUUAUUCCAAGCACGUCAUUACUUGCCUGUGUUUGGGGAGGUCACUGCGAGCUCUGUGCUCCAGCCUGCUAAAGCUGCUGGGCUGAGCUCAGCUACCUUUGGGACAUCUCUGGAUAUUAAGGAAAAAUUAUUCUUGGAAAGAGUGAUGAUGUUUGGAAUGGGCUGCCCAGGGAGGUGGUGGAGUCACCGUUCCUGGAGGUGUACAAGAAACAUGUAGGUGUGGCACUGAGGGACACGGUUAGUGGGCAUGGUGGGGAUGGCUUGAUGGUUGGACUCGAUCUUUGAGGUCUUUUCCAACCUUAAUGAUUUUAUGAUUCUAUUCUAUGAAUACAGAAUUUGACUUGGAGGUGUGUGCUUGAACACUUAAGUGUGCUUAUGGUCAAGGUGUGAAAGUUCUACAUGUGCAGGUGCUGCUGACUCCUGCCACUUGCUCACACGCCCGUUUUCCACAAAGGCACAAAAUGAUACAAAACUGCCUUUAUGUAUUAAAUUUCUGAAACGUCAGUACAAAGACUCCAAGUGCCUUAGUGAUUAAUUAGACACAAAAUGGCAAACAUGACCAUCUAGCAACAAAAUUGAAUUGUAUGCAAAUAGUGCAUGAACUCAACCAGUCCUCCACAGCAGCCCUCCAGUUUCUUCCCCAUCUCUACUUUAGCCAUUGGAAGGUAGCAGGGGUGUGACUGAUCCUGCGUGUGCUUAUGGCAGAGCCUUUUGCCUUCCCCAGGCGGGAGGCUCAAAGAAAGUAUCUGCUCAGGUAUUCCUGUGCUCCUACACCCCUAAUUACAACCUCAUGACUUAAUCAUAAGCUGCCUUUAGCUCAGGUCUGCUUGUAACAUCUUCCUCUUUUCUGCUUUUGACGCGUGGGCUUUCCCUUUAAUGUCUCGGUUGUUCAGUUCUGCGGUGAGUGAUGGGACUGAAAUACCUGCCGACAAGCAAAGGAUCUUACAAAUUCCUUUUGAAAUACACCUGAAAAUUGCAAAUUCAGUUCUCAGAUGCAAAAUCCAAUCACUUGCCACCCAAGGCAUGCAACCUGGCAUGGGCUUCCUGCACAAACAGGUGAGCAGUACAGGUAUAACACGCAGCUUUUGUGUUUAAGGCUCUCUGCGCCCCUGAAUUUGGGCCUAUUUUCUUACCAAGGAGUCUUAAGAUAGUCAGUAUUUUCCUUAAGGCUCAAUCUUCCAGUCCUGUGAUUAUGAGAAACUGCUUUCAUUAACUAAAAUUGGCCUGAAAGCAUGAGAGCAAUCAACUGGUAGAUGCUGCUGGCUUGAAAACUGCAAGACGAAGACAUGUACCCCUAAAUUUUAAGGCCUUUUGGCUUUACAGGUCAUGAUUUCUUUCCGGGAAACCAUGGUGAUAAUUUCAGUGUGCUACUGACCACUGUUCACAGAUGGCUUUUGUUUUUAAGGUAGCACCUGAAAGAUUUUUUCCCCUUGGUUUUGCUUCUUCAGGACAUAUCUCGCUAUGAGCUACCUGGUCGAUUUGAUUUGGAAAAUAUAUUUUUUUUUAUGUAUGAUUUUUUGUAUUUGAAAUACUGUUUUUUUUCUUUGACUGGUAGAUUGGGAUCCUUAGCCAGCCCUCUCUGAACACAGCUGAGAUGUGUAUGCUGAGGAGAGCAUGGCUUGCUGACAAAUCCCUCACCAGGCUGUUUGCAGUCAUCUGCUUCUGGUCGCAUCACCAACACCCACACUGAGGUCCUUUGUCCUUUGGGUGAUGUGAAUGUGCAAAGAACAAAUGAAAAUCUUAAGCAUCCGUUGUUAUGUCCCCCCACAGAUGUGACUUUUUCAUAGCGAGAAAAGAGAAUGUGUCCAAGUGGAGAAGAAAACAUGCGUUUGGGAACUGGGAACCUUGGGAGCAGCGUGUUUGUACUGUGCUCUUAGCCAGUGCUGGGGACUUUCCGGAGUCCCCUUAUAGGCCCUUUGCAGCACGCAGUACUUCUGUCGUUCUGCUGCGUAUGGUGAGUUCACCUGGUUCAGAUCUACGCACGUACCAACGUCAUGAGGAGGAGCUGCUGCUGCCGGGUGCUUCCAGGACAUUGCAAGCUUGCUGUGGAGGUGCCAGCGUUUAUGAACAACCUCCUCGCCCUUGCCAGCAUGAUCCUGCCUUGGCUCGGCUGCCUUCAUUGGGUUUCUGUAGCACGGCCGGGCUCGCUUUGCCCUCCUGUGGCUGACAGAGGAUGUUCAAGACGGCUCUAUCCCUGUGCAUCAGUGCCCUGCAUGGCCGGAGUUGGCUCGGACUUUGCCCUCUGCUCAAAACAGCUCCGUGGUGGUUGCAGUCAGUAUUUAGGAUUGCUUUUAAGGAUCUGAGAAGAAAUGUGCAAGUGCUCUGCACGCAAGCUGUUGCUAAUGCCAGGAGUAUCAGCGAAGUCAAAAGUGGUGCCUUCCUCUGGCUGUGACCGGCUCUUCCCGAGAACCUCCCACAGAUCAUCAUCCCAUCCACUGCAUAUGCUGCGAAGGAGUAUGGCAGCCACACUGAGUAGCGCAUGACUCUGCAGCCUGAGGGAGCAGGUGGAUGUGUGCCUGAUGCUGCAGCAGGGAAGUGCUUUGGUUUGGAUUUGUGUUGGAUUUGCCAUACUGCAUGUAGCAAGAGGCCCUCAAGAAGGGGAGGUAGCAUUUUUCUGUGCCUACAGCAGUCCAUGCUGCUAGGUGCUGUUGUAAUGCCUAAAUGAUUACUAGCCUCAAGCUUGUUUUGCUCUGUAAAUAGUUAUUUCUGUCAGAACAUGACUAAUGCUCCUAAAAGCAGCACGAGCUCCACCUCCACCUCCUUCCCACCCAUGCUCCUCGGACCAGCAUGUCCCAAAGGGGCUCGGGCUGCAGGAGGAGGAGGACGCUGCUGGCCACCCAUCUACAUGUCCUGUACAGGCUGCAGUGUCUGUGGCUUGGCCACCUCAUCCUGCUGCUCCAGCUGGAUCGAGUCCCAGGGGCCAUGUGAGACAUUUCUGUCAUUAAUCAAUAUAAGAGUAACUAAUAUGGAAUCACAGAAUCAUUAAAGUUGGAAGAGACCUGCAAGAUCAUCUAGUUCAGCCAUCCAACUACCGCCAAUACUACCCACUAAAACACGUCCCUGAGUACCACAUCUACACAUUCCUUGAACACCUCCAGGGAAGGUGACUCCACCACGUCCCUGGGCAGCCCGUUCCAGUGCCUGACCACUCUUUAGGAGAAGCAGCUUUGCCUACUAUCCAACUCGAACCUCCCAAAUGAGAGCAUUCAUGGUGCUGCUCUUCGUGAUGAAGCAUUCACCAAGAGCAGCAUCUGAAAUGGGUUUGAGUAUCAGGAUGCUCGAUCCCAGGCUGUAACUCUGUCAUAUUGUUUCUGGCCUAUUCACUAGGAAACAUGACAUUUUACUGAAAAGUUAAACACGGGCCUUUUUUUUAUCUUGAAUUUUGCUUCUACAGCUGAAAGUAAAACAGCCCACCAAACCACCACCAAAAACCCAGUCAUGUGGCAGCACAAAAUAACAAUGCCAAAGCUUAACAAGGAUUUUUGAAACAGUCAUUUCAGUGUUUUGCUAAAUUGCUGUGUCAUUUGUAAUAACUUCAGCAUCCCCAAACACUUGGAUACAGUGCCAUUAAAAUAUGCUACCAAUUACCACAAAUAUAUGCAAACUAGGAGCAAUGCAGACAGUCUAGGCAGAGAAAACUUCUGUUUUGAUUUUAUUUUCUGAGCUCGUUCCUAAGCUGAAAAAGUGGGUCCUAAUAAGAAAGGUGCUGUGUGAAGUUUGUUUUCAUUCUGAGUUGAAAAGAAGCCUCUCCAAACUGAAGAGAAGUCGCACCCAACCAGCUUUACCUUUGUUUUUAAAGAAAUCUGACAUCAGUACGGCCUCAAUGACUUCUCCUUCCUUGUAUUGUUUUUCUUUGGAAAAGCAGAAACCCCAGCCAGCCUACUCUUUUCCCUCCCUCCAGUUACCCCAUGUUGGCUAGAACUCCUCUAGCCCCAGCAGAGCCCACAGGGAGGCUGCUUGUGCUCCUGGCAAGCGCCCACCUUCCUGCCGGCCACAUCCUCCCAGUGGAAAAUCCCAUCUCCUGCCCAGAGAGAGCCCUGGGCACGCCCUGGAGCACCCCAGUCAUUGCCUUCAUUGAGCUAAACAGCAGCCUGCCUUUCCUACCACUUGUGUUCUGCACCCACUGUAGGUCAGUGAUGUUCACUCCCCGCCAGAACAUGGUCAGCGACAUCCUUGUGACAGAGACUGUGUUUUAGGACCCAGCAUUAUGCAAGGGCUCUGACUUUAAUGGAUGUAAGCAGUCCCUAACUUUGCAGGGCUGGUUAGUGGCAGAAAGCAAGCUGUCAGGAUGCUGCUUCAUCCUCCAAAUUCCUCCUGGGGAGGUUUCCUUCACCCACAGCCUGCAGUUAUUGUGAUAGCAAUGGGGUCCCACCUGCAUAGCACACACAGCUGUCUUCAGUCUACGAGCUAUGCCUUCUUAAAAUGCUAGAAGUUGGGUUUCCUGAAGGGAAAACACUGAACACCUUGUAAUAUACGUCAUGAAAUCUCCUUUCCCCUGCUCAAGUGCACCUUCCCCUUGGGAUGCCGUCAAGAUGUGGGCCUGGAAGUGCUCAUUCUCAGCUAACAGGAGGUGCCCGUGCUCUAACUUACGGUGGCAGCUCCCAAAGCCCUCAGAGAAGCACAGCAACAUGCAUCUUCCCAUUUAGCUCUUCAUAGAAUAAUUUCCACAUUCCUUCUGGGGUGGAAACUAUGACAGCCCCUCCUCUCCUGGCCUCGCCACACACGCUGUCACGUGGGAGAACAAUAAGCAGAGCGGAGGGGGCUUCCUCUCCAUGAGGACGUGCCUGGGUGCUGGCCAGACCUGCCAAGUUUGUCAAAAUUAAGGGUUUGUUGUUUUUGUUUUUAAAAACAGAAUUCAGCUGUCCAAGGAGCAGAGAGAGCAAAUGAUGCCGUAAUACGCAGCCCACGAGCUCAGUGUAUGGAGCUGUGACAUACCCAAGCUGUAGCCCCACAUCUGCUCUCCAUCCCUAGUACAUUGUGAGAGGUGCUCCAGCCCUCUGAUCAUCUUCAUGGCUCUCCUCUGGACCUGCUCCAACAGCU